CCUACGGGUGGCUGCAGUGAGGAAUAUUGGUCAAUGGACGAGAGUCUGAACCAGCCAAGUAGCGUGAAGGAUGACUGCCCUAUGGGUUGUAAACUUCUUUUAUAAAGGAAUAAAACGAGGCACGUGUGCCUUUUUGCAUGUACCUUAUGAAUAAGGAUCGGCUAACUCCGUGCCAGCAGCCGCGGUAAUACGGAGGAUCCGAGCGUUAUCCGGAUUUAUUGGGUUUAAAGGGAGCGUAGAUGGGUUGUUAAGUCAGUUGUGAAAGUUUGCGGCUCAACCGUAAGAUUGCAGUUGAAACUGGCUGUCUGGAGUACAGUAGAGGUAGGCGGAAUGCGUGGUGUAGCGGUGAAAUGCGUAGAUAUCACGAAGAACCCCGAUUGCGAAGGCAGCCUACUGGACUGAAACUGACGUUGAGGCUCGAAAGUGUGGGUAUCAAACAGGAUUAGAUACCCCAGUAGUC
rnacentral:rRNA from 1 species